rnacentral:rRNA from 1 species
AGCGAACGCUGGCGGCAGGCUUAACACAUGCAAGUCGAGCGGGCAUAGCAAUAUGUCAGCGGCAGACGGGUGAGUAACGCGUGGGAACGUACCUUUUGGUUCGGAACAACUGAGGGAAACUUCAGCUAAUACCGGAUAAGCCCUUACGGGGAAGGAUUUAUCGCCGAAAGAUGGGCCCGCGUCUGAUUAGCUAGUUGGUGAGGUAAUGGCUCACCAAGGCGACGAUCAGUAGCUGGUCUGAGAGGAUGAUCAGCCACAUUGGGACUGAGACACGGCCCAAACUCCUACGGGAGGCAGCAGUGAGGAAUAUUGGACAAUGGGCGCAAGCCUGAUCCAGCCAUGCCGCGUGAGUGAUGAAGGCCCUAGGGUUGUAAAGCUCUUUUGUGCGGGAAGAUAAUGACGGUACCGCAAGAAUAAGCCCCGGCUAACUUCGUGCCAGCAGCCGCAGUAAAAC